AAUCUGCCCGCGAUCGCGUGUUACAGUCGCGUGAUCACUUAAUUUGAAGUCGAUUCAAGCGACUUUUGGCAGCGACUGAGCGGCGCAGUUCUAUUUUGGUGUUUAAAGGAAACAGAGGGCGGAAGAAGCAUCGCCGCAUCGGAGAAUGGAGAUACCGACGCGGCGACGCCUCUGGGGGCAUUUCUCUUCCCCUUCCUUCGUCUCUGUGGUUCGCACUCCUCAAGAGCCGACCUACUCUCUCUCGCUUUUCUGAUGGGGACACUCAUACGAAGAGGCCGAAGCCCUCUUCCUCCCUUCGUCUCUUUUGCUCUCUGUUCGCCCUAGCCCCUCUCUUCCGUCUCCUUGUAAUGCACAAGAGGCUGGAAGCCCCUCUUCCCCACGGAUUCUCCCUCUUCAGACGCCUCCAAGCCGCAAUCCUCACAAGAUAGUCCUCCAUACACUCCCGUCGGCUCUGAUACGCAGAGGCGAAGCCCUUGCCUUUCUCGACCGGUUUCCACUUCCUCUCGACGCCGAGCCUCCUCCAACCUUAUUCUCACACCCGCUGCCAACAUUGCCGACUCGACCUCACCAACCAGAUUUGCUGCUGUUGUGGCCUAACAGAUUUGUUUGAUGAAAAGUUAUAUAAAUGUCAAUGAAUUGGUCUUCUUUGAUAUGGAUAGCUGCUGCCACUUAAGUAUAUAAUCAGAUAGCUUUAUGAACAUAUAUGUAUGUUUUGUUCAAAUUGCUUGCCAUUCCAUGUCGGGGCACCUAAGAUUCAAAACUUUAGAAGAUUUUAAAGUUAGAUUUGAGUUUAUAGUUUGUUCAAAAUUGCUUGCCAUUCCAUGUUGGGGCACCUAAGAUCCAUAACUUUAGAAGAUUUUAAAGUUAGAUUUGAGAAGGCUCUGGAAUCUAGGGAAGGAUUUGCAGCUAUUGCUAAGGAUUACUCUGAUUUGCUUAUGUUCGCAUUCGAUGAAAGUUACAAAGGCACUGAACAAGUAAUUGUGGACACUUCAAAAGCACAGAGAUGAUUUGGUGUAAUUUAAAUGCUAUUUUAGCUCGCGCGAAAAAAUUAUUUGAGCUCACGUCAUUGUAUGAGGGAAAACUUAACAAGGAACUUUUCGAGCAUGUGAAAUAUCUUUUAGAUGAUGCUACUGAUGAAAAGUGGUCAGCAAUUAGAAGAUUUCUUCAUCUUGAGAGAAUGACCACUUUAGUUGGUUUUGCUUCAACCCUUUCUUCAUUUAAUAUUUAUCAGACAAUUGUCAAAAAGUUGGUUGCAAAACUAGAAAAAUAUGUCAAAAGCAUUGUUGAAUCUAAGACAAAGGAAGAAGCUGGGAGGGUCUUGAUGAAUAUGAAAGACAGGUUUAAAACAAAAUUUAGUUGUGAUUCUGAUUCUAUGCCAAGACUAUGGACAAGAAAAGAAGAUAUAAAAGCAAUCACCAAAACGGCUUGUUCAGUAGUAUGUCAUAAAUUUGCAUUCCUACUACUUUUUUUUUUAUCUUGCAAGUUGAUAUGUAUGGUUAAUUCUUAUUUUUAUUUCAAAUUGUUGUUUUAUUUUUACAUCCUUUAAAGUUGUUAUAUGUCUUUGUAAUUCAUUUAGAUGGGGAGAAGGAUAACGUUGAGGAG